rnacentral:rRNA from 1 species
UGAGGAAUAUUGGGCAAUGCCCGCAAGGGUGACCCAGCAACGCCGCGUGGAGGAUGAAUGUCGUAAGAUUGUAAACUCCUGUUAGAGGGGAAGAAUAGUACCGGUUGGACCGGUAUAUGACUGUACCCUCAGAGAAAGCCCCGGCUAACUACGUGCCAGCAGCCGCGGUAAUACGUAGGGGGCAAGCGUUGUCCGGAUUUACUGGGUGUAAAGGGCGCGCAGGCGGGAUAAAAAGUCAGUGGUGAAAUCCUACAGCUUAACUGUAGAACUGCCUUUGAUACUUUUAUUCUUGAGUUCGGGAGAGAGAGACGGAAUUCCAGGUGUAGUGGUGAAAUACGUAGAUAUCUGGAAGAACACCAGUUGCGAAGGCGG